UUAAGUGAAUAAGGGCGCACGGUGGAUGCCUUGGCACUAGGAGCCGAUGAAGGACGGGACUAACACCGAUAUGCUUUGGGGAGCUGUACGUAAGCUAUGAUCCAGAGAUUUCCGAAUGGGGGAACCCAACAUCUUUAAUAGGAUGUUACGAUUGUGUGAAUACAUAGCACAUUCGAGGUAGACGCAGAGAACUGAAACAUCUAAGUACCUGCAGGAAGAGAAAGAAAAUUCGAUUCCCUGAGUAGCGGCGAGCGAAACGGGAAAAGCCCAAACCAGCAAGCUUGCUUGUUGGGGUUGUAGGACUCCAAUAUGGUAGUUCUUUCAGAUAGUCGAAUGACUUGGAAAAGUCAGUCAAAGAGGGUAAAAACCCCGUAGACGAAAUGUGGAAGACACCUAGGAGGAUCCUGAGUACGGCGGAACACGAGAAAUUCCGUCGGAAUCCGGGAGGACCAUCUCCCAAGGCUAAAUACUCCCUAGUGACCGAUAGUGAACCAGUACCGUGAGGGAAAGGUGAAAAGCACCCCGGAAGGGGAGUGAAAUAGAACCUGAAACCGUGUGCCUACAACAAGUCAAAGCCCGUUAAUGGGUGAUGGCGUGCCUUUUGUAGAAUGAACCGGCGAGUUACGAUUGCAUGCGAGGUUAAGUUGAAGAGACGGAGCCGCAGCGAAAGCGAGUCUGAAUAGGGCGUUUGAGUAUGUAGUCGUAGACCCGAAACCAUGUGAUCUACCCAUGUCCAGGUUGAAGGUGCGGUAAAACGCACUGGAGGACCGAACCCACGUACGUUGAAAAGUGCGGGGAUGAGGUGUGGGUAGCGGAGAAAUUCCAAACGAACUUGGAGAUAGCUGGUUCUCUCCGAAAUAGCUUUAGGGCUAGCCUCGGAAUUGAGAAUGAUGGAGGUAGAGCACUGUUUGGACUAGGGGCCCAUCUCGGGUUACCGAAUUCAGAUAAACUCCGAAUGCCAUUCAUUCAUAUCCGGGAGUCAGACUGUGAGUGAUAAGAUCCAUAGUCGAAAGGGAAACAGCCCAGACCACCAGCUAAGGUCCCAAAAUAUAUGUUAAGUGGAAAAGGAUGUGGGGUUGCACAGACAACUAGGAUGUUGGCUUAGAAGCAGCCACCAUUUAAAGAGUGCGUAAUAGCUCACUAGUCGAGUGACCCUGCGCCGAAAAUGUACCGGGGCUAAACAUAUUACCGAAGCUGUGGAGUACACCUUUAGGUGUAUUGGUAGGAGAGCGUUCUAAGGGCGUUGAAGGCAGAUCGUGAGGACUGCUGGAGCGCUUAGAAGUGAGAAUGCCGGUAUGAGUAGCGAAAGACAGGUGAGAAUCCUGUCCACCGAAUGACUAAGGUUUCCUGGGGAAGGCUCGUCCGCCCAGGGUUAGUCGGGACCUAAGCCGAGGCCGACAGGCGUAGGCGAUGGAUAACAGGUUGAUAUUCCUGUACCCGUUGUUUUUGUUUGAGCAAUGGAGGGACGCAGGAGGCUAAGGAAUGCAGACGAUCGGAAAUGUCUGUCCAAGCAGUAAGUCUGAAGAGGAGUCAAAUGCUUCUUUUCUUAAGGACAAGCUGUGAUGGGGAGGGAAAUAAUAGUACCGAAGUUCCUGAUGUCACACUGCCGAGAAAAGCUUCUAGUGAGAAAACAGCGGCCCGUACCGCAAACCGACACAGGUAGUCGAGGAGAGAAUCCUAAGGUGAGCGAGAGAACUCUCGUUAAGGAACUCGGCAAAAUGACCCCGUAACUUCGGGAGAAGGGGUGCUGAUCAUACGAUCAGCCGCAGUGAAUAGGCCCAAGCGACUGUUUAUCAAAAACACAGGUCUCUGCAAAAUCGUAAGAUGAAGUAUAGGGGCUGACGCCUGCCCGGUGCUGGAAGGUUAAGAGGAGUGCUUAGCGCAAGCGAAGGUACGAAUUGAAGCCCCAGUAAACGGCGGCCGUAACUAUAACGGUCCUAAGGUAGCGAAAUUCCUUGUCGGGUAAGUUCCGACCCGCACGAAAGGCGUAACGAUUUGGGCACUGUCUCAACGAGAGACUCGGUGAAAUUUUAGUACCUGUGAAGAUGCAGGUUACCCGCGACAGGACGGAAAGCCCCCAUGGAGCUUUACUGUAGUUUGAUAU
rnacentral:rRNA from 1 species